ensembl:lncRNA
AGCAACGUUUCCGAGACCAGUUAUUUUUAUCUCCAUCCCUUCCAAUGGCACACGAAUGACCUCUCUCUAUCACCCCCGCGCGUUGGUAGAGUCCAGAUCAGAACAUCAUGGCGAUUGAUGGAGGGGGGAGGAACUGUGGUGUCCAUGAGCUCAUCUGUGCUAGAAGAGUGGUGCCGGCUGCGUCAGUAGCUCUGGGAGCUGUCUGUACCUGCCCCCACCUGCUGCUGGUUGACAGGCACGGGAGAGAGAUCACCUUACCUCUGACGCCUGAAUUAUUCAGCCGUGUUGACAUGCCCAGAGCGAGGCCCUGUAUGAACCGUCAUUCACAGUGAUCUGAUGGGAGGUGGGUGGAUAUGGUGUGGGCGGUUAUGGGGGUUGUGUUGGUGUGUGUGUGUGUGUGUAGUUUGAGGGAGGUGAGAGGGCGAGUGACAAAGCCGUCCGUUAUCAGUUUGGACAGAAGUCUGUGACUGCACUGUUACAAGAGCUACGGGGAAUAGUUUCGGAUCACUCUGGUCGUCUAUUCUGUUCACCGGAGAUGGUGGGAUGUCCUGUGCCAAUAUGUGAUGGCUUCGGUUCAUGUGGAUUGACUACAUAGGAACUUGUUCAGCUUUCUGAUUCGUUGACCAAUAACCGAGCAGGGGAGAAAGUUUCUCCCGAGGUGCUUGGCGCGUUGUCCUCCCUCGUGGCCUUUGCGGUGCUGAUGCUGAUCUUUUUCGUCUACCUCAGCAACAAGCUGUCAGCGCAGAGUGCCUCCAGCCUCCCUGUUCUGGACAGCCCCACAGGGGACCAACAAGGUGCCCGCACACACUCCUCUCCACUCCACUGGUGGUGGCACUGAGGGCCACGCCCACUCAGAAACAGGGAGGGGCCUACGCUCGACUAAGUGGGACCUUAUGAUUUCAGGAUGACUAUUGUUUCCUUUUUAUUUGAUUUGUGUAUUUCAAUUGAAAUACACUCUAAAGCAAUCGCAUUAUUUACGGUAAAUCACUAAAAUGUUUCAAAUGUG